CUGCCUACGACUACAGAGUACAGACUACGGCGGAUCGACUCCUCUCCCCUCAGAAAAUUACUAAUUCCCAUGCCUCAGCUACAGACAGCGCCGGAUCCUCUCCUCUCCGCUCGAGAAAAUAACUAAUUGCCCCUGCCUCACAGUGAUCUCCAGCCAAUCUUCAUGUGAAGGUCGCUCCUCACGUACGUCUGCUAGCCAGCGAUCCCCAUCAAAUCUCGGCUUGAAUCCCGCUCAUCCCGCAUGGCCACCGGUCUUCAUCGCCAUCGACACCACCCUGGGAGCUAGGGCGCAUGCCCGACCUUGGUUCCAUUGCCACGCACCCCGGCCCGGGUCGUCGAGGAGCAAGCCGAUUCAACCCAUGCGCAUGUUUGUCGAUCUCCUUAGGCAUGCCCUUUGGAUGCUGAGACUUGGGACGCGGGUUGUUCGUUGUUUAGUGGCCGGCCGCCCAGAUCCUUAGAUCAUCGAGCAGGGAACUAUCGAUGGAGCCUCUGUCCGCUAUUGUUCUGCUCCACGACCGUUGCCGGUGGCGAGGAGUCCGGCUUGAUCAGCGACGUCCCCCAUGACAACACCUUCAGGUUAAAUUUUUGCCUCGACUCUAAUGGAAAGCUUCUACUGGGUGAGGAUGGUGACCUACGAUCUAAGCUGGCCACACUUUGGAAUUGGAGGUACUGGACCAAUUGGAUGCCCGCCCAGUGAUCUUGGUUGUUCUUCCCUUGCAAAAUACACAAACGCCUCAGAUUUACACCUCCUAUAGGCGCUCGACGACUGGACACCAUGGCAGCCAUCUUGGUUGUUCAACCCAUGAUGUAUACCCAGGCGCUUCAGAUUUACCACUCCUGCCACACAUCUAUCACCAGCUGGUCCAUAUAGAGGAGGAGAUAAGUUACAGGGCGUGGGGUGCUCUUCUUGGAAGACGGUUAGCGGAGCGUGGAAUUAUAGUCGCUUGCAUUGAUUAUAGAAAUUUGCCCCAAGGAACAAUAAGUGACAUGGUCAGUGAUGCUUUUGAGGCAUUUUCAUUUAUUUGUGAUACUAUUGCUAGCUAUGGAGGAGAUCCUAAUCAGAACUAUGCGCCGCACUUGAAUAUUUGAUCCUUUUGGGCGGUGAUUCUAUCCAAAGUCGUCGUUGUGACGUCGGUGAGCAACCUCGGGCACCACACUGAGUGCUACCGCCUCCCCACCACUCAUGACGCCAGGCUGUUCUACUUCUUCGAAUUCAGGUGGCACAAGGAGGACCCAGUGGUGAUCUGGCUGAUGGGAAGGCCCGGCUACUGCAGCGAGCUAGCCCUCUUCUACGAGAACGGCGCCUUCCACAUAGCAGACAACAUGUCGCUACUCUAGAAUGAGUUUGGUUGGGAUCAGCUCUGUCCGUGGUGGUCUCAUGGAUGUAGUGGUGACACCUCUCCUAGUAUACAUGUCCAAAAUCAUUAUUUUGUGGGAAUUCUCGCAGACUUUGCCUUUGUUCCGGGAGGCGUGCAACGACGGCAUGAAGAACAACAUCGAGACCAUACGUUCGGUUUCUCUGUGCCCGCUCUGCUGCCAUCCACACCCGCACUAUCCCAGCUCGUGUGCCGGCUCGAGGAGAAGCUCAGGCCGCCACCACACAAAGGGAGAGGAACCCAAGAAGAAUCUAUCCCGCCUUACUGUCCAUGACCCGACGACAGAGACAGCUACUUCGAGCCUAGGUGAGUAGCCGCCAACCCUGCAUUUCGAGCCUAGGUAACCAAGUUUGUGUCUACUUCUCUGAUUAGUUGCUUAUGCUUCAUGGUCUUUGUGGGAAACACAACAUGAUGCCUUGCUGGUUCCUGAGCAAGGCCUUUUGGGACCGAUCUCUCUAGCGUUAAAGAAAGCAAGAUUGAUGCUCUGUUUUCUCUAUUUUUGUUGGGUUGGAGCAGAGUGCGUGGGUUACCGAUCCCAUAUGCCAGUGUAUAGCAAGAACAAAAAAACUUUAGUUGAUUUGACUUUUAACCUAAAUUUAUUUAGGAAACUUAUACUAACCUUUAUCUUAGUUAGUUGCACCAGCUUGCAUGUAUUUAAGUAACUAGAGAAGUUUGGUCCUUUCUUAGCCAUAUAAUCAUAGGACAAAUAUGUCGUGGUUGCAAUUGUUAUCCAGGUGAUGUUUUUAGGAGCUAGAUUAAAUUCAGUACAGUGAUUUGGCCAUCGACUGUGUGGAAAUAUCUACAGCUUUUUGUUUGAGAUGGGGAUAUUUGUUAGAUUAGCAGAUGCACAUUUAA